ensembl:lncRNA
AGGCAGUGGAGCCAGCCUGAUGCGCAUCUUUUCAUGGGGAAGAUGAGAGGAGCUGAGAGGAUCAGUCACGGACCAGUGCUGUACUAUAUGCCACUUUUAAACAGCUUUAUUUAUGUUUUGUCUUGGGACAUUUUGAACAAACAUUUCAACAUCUGUGUAGAAUUUCUCAAGCGUCAAUGCAGAUUUCAACACAUAUGUUUUGUUGUUUUUUUUGUUUUGUUUUUUUCUUUUUGUCCUGUUCAUAUUUCAAGGUGAACUUUUCCUUCAUUUUUCUGGAAAAGAUACCUUUGUGGUGGAAAUUCAUCUUUUCUUCCUUUAUUUUGAAGGGAGAAAAGUAGUUUGAGUCUAGUUUGUUGGUACUUGUGCCUUGGCAUGCCUUUACCGCGUCCUAUUGCUAGUUCUGUUGCCUGCUGAACUGUCCUGUUUUCAUAUGUUUGUGUCCCUGCUCUUUUCUAUGUGCACACCAGUGAGCUGUUGGAGGGAGGGAGUUUUUUCCACUGUUUCAAGGUACAUGGUUUCCUUAUGGUGACCCAACAUGUAGCUGCUACUGUCGCCAUCUUACCCGCCAUGACAAUGAAAGGCCUGGCCAGCCAACAGUGUACUGAGGUCUAUAUUGUUACAAAUAGCCCUUACAUCUGGGGUUUGGGUUUUUUAACAAUGUGUAUAUUGUCCAUUCUUGCCCGUUACUUAGAAAAAUGGAGUGUUAAUGGCACUGACUCUGUUCAUACACACAAGAGUUUUAAAUGAUCCGAGUAGGCACAUUUUAUUGUACAUUUUUAUUGUAUUUUAAGGAGAAUUACUGAACCACAGCAGACUAUGUAAAUGUGAGUCUGUGGUGUCUUUAAGGUUGAGACAUUACUUUUAUGUUCCUGUCCCUGCAAUCCCCACAUUAUCAACGGUGAUGUUAACACAACAUGUUGAGACCUGGUCUGCGAUUAAUGAUCAGUCUACUUUGCCAAGAUGAUCCAGAAACAUUGUUCUUUUCAUGUAAAGAAACUGCCACAACUGUCUAUGUAUGUGUAUGUUCUCCACAGACGGAGAAUAUUUGUAAACUCAUCUCCCUUAUUUUGCUAAUAAAACCAUUUACAAAC